AUCAUUACCGAGUGCGGGCCCUCUGGGUCCAACCUCCCAUCCGUGUCUAUCUGUACCCUGUUGCUUCGGCGUGGCCACGGCCCGCCGGAGACUAACAUUUGAACGCUGUCUGAAGUUUGCAGUCUGAGUUUUUAGUUAAACAAUCGUUAAAACUUUCAACAACGGAUCUCUUGGUUCCGGCAUCGAUGAAGAACGCAUCGAAAUGCGAUAAUUAAUGUGAAUUGCAGAAUUCAGUGAAUCAUCGAGUCUUUGAACGCACAUUGCGCCCCCUGGUAUUCCGGGGGGCAUGCCUGUCCGAGCGUCAUUGCUGCCCUCAAGCACGGCUUGUGUGUUGGGCUUCCGUCCCUGGCAACGGGGACGGGCCCAAAAGGCAGUGGCGGCACCAUGUCUGGUCCUCGAGCGUAUGGGGCUUUGUCACCCGCUCCCGUAGGUCCAGCUGGCAGCUAGCCUCGCAACCAAUCUUUUUAACCAGGUUGACCUCGGAUCAGGUAGGGAUACCCGCUGAACUUAAGCAUAUCAAUAAGCGGAGGA
rnacentral:rRNA from 1 species